AUUACGUUUAGAUUCAGUCGCAAAGCUCGACGUGCACUCCGGCACGGCUAGAAGGUCUUUGUACGCCGACUCUUAAUGACUGAAGACUCAGUAAAAGUGCGUGCAGGGACGUGCCGAUCAUUUGAUAAUAUUACAGAUAGAUGGAUCGCAACUGAAAAAACAUUUCAAACUUGGAUAUCAAACCUCAGUUUGAUAAGAAGGCUCAGAGAAUAUGAGUGUUUAUCAAUUGGAAGAAGAAAUGAAGUCAAUCACUGACUAAGAAAUGUAAAAGAAUUCAAAAACAUCAUCUGACAAAGUUACAUAUGACGGAGUUAAUUUGCUUGUAUCAAAGCUUAAAAAGUUAGAAAAGAAACAUAUUUUAUCUAAAAUCACCGAAAAUAUUUGCAAAAGUUUGAUAAAAACCCUAAAAAUCGAAAAACACAUUAAAAUGUCCAUCAGAAGCUAAGAAAAACACACCUCGUCUACGUU